rnacentral:lncRNA from 1 species
AACCAAUGGCGAAACCACAACCCAGGGUCUUGAUGGCCUUGCCCAGCGCUGCCAAAAGUACUAUGAAGCUGGUGCUCGUUUUGCCAAAUGGCGUGCAGUGCUCAAGAUUGGUCCUAACGAACCCUCACAGUUGUCCAUUAAUGAAAAUGCCAAUGGAUUGGCCAGGUAUGCUAUCAUUUGCCAGGAGAAUGGUCUGGUACCUAUUGUGGAGCCUGAGAUCUUGGUUGAUGGUCCUCAUGACAUCAAGAAGUGCGCUGACGUAACUGAACGCGUUCUUGCUGCCUGUUACAAGGCUCUAAAUGACCACCACGUUCUCCUCGAAGGAACCUUGUUGAAGCCCAACAUGGUUACCCCUGGAUCUCAAUCUGCAAAGGUUGCACCAGAAGUGAUUGCAGAGCACACCGUCCUUGCCCUACAGCGAACUGUUC